rnacentral:pre_miRNA from 1 species
AACGGUAUCAACCUCAGGUAGCAGAGACCACAUGACUGCUAGCUCCCUGAGUAGCUGCCGUUGA